UCACACAUCUCUCCUUGUGCCUAUACCUAUCACUUCUCUAGCAAGGAAAGGGUAGGGAGCCAUGUAAGACUCCCCAUCAAGAGGAUUCAAUCCAGGAUGCUACCUUGCUUUUAGCCAUCAUGCCUGUUCAUGUAGAAACAAAAGUGUUUUCUGGAAGCAGCAAGAAGUAGCAAGGAGAAGCAUGUGUGACCCUGUCUGCUCCUCCAGUGGAGCAGAAGUCCAUUAAACUAUUUCUUCCUGAUGGGGACAGUUUGGCGAACGAUGACUGUCAGUCUAGUGACCUUUCUAAGCCCACAGAGAGACGAC